CCUACGGGUGGCAGCAGUGGGGAAUAUUGGGCAAUGGGCGCAAGCCUGACCCAGCAACGCCGCGUGAAGGAAGAAGGCUUUCGGGUUGUAAACUUCUUUUGACAGGGAAGAGUAGAAGACGGUACCUGUCGAAUAAGCCACGGCUAACUACGUGCCAGCAGCCGGGGUAAUACGUAGGUGGCAAGCGUUGUCCGGAUUUACUGGGUGGAAAGGGCGUGUAGCCGGGUUGACAAGUAAGAUGUGAAAUCCUUCGGCUUAACCGCAGAACUGCAUUUGAAACUGUUGAUCUUGAGUGCUGGAGAGGCAGACGGAAUUCCUAGUGUAGCGGUGAAAUGCGUAGAUAUUAGGAGGAACACCAGUGGCGAAGGCGGUCUGCUGGACAGCAACUGACGGUGAGGCGCGAAAGCGUGGGGAGCAAACAGGAUUAGAUACCCUAGUAGUC
rnacentral:rRNA from 1 species